GAUGAACGCUGGCGGCGUGCCUAACACAUGCAAGUCGAGCGAACGGACGAGAAGCUUGCUGCUUGGACGUUAGCGGCGGGCGGGAGAGUAACACGUGUAUCAUCUCCUUAUAAUACUGGUAAAACUUCGGAAAACCGGAUCUAAUAGCGGAUAAUAUCCUGAAGCGUAUUGUGCAAAAGUGAGAUACGGUCUUUCGGUCACGUAUAGAUGGAUCCGCGCUGCAUGAGAUAGUUGGUAAGUUAACGGCUUACCAAGGCAAGGAUGCAUAGCCGACGUGACAGCGGGAUAGCCGACACUGGAGGUGACACGCGGUCCAGGCUCCUACGGUAGGCAGCAGUAGGGAAUGUUCGGCAAUGGGCGGAAGCCUGCCGGAGCGGCGGCGCGCGAGUGAUGAAAGUCUUCGGAUCGUAAAACUCUGUUAUUAGGGAAGAACAUAUGUGUCAGUAACUGUGCACAUCUUGACGGUACCUAAUAAGAAAGCCACGGCUAACUACGUG
rnacentral:rRNA from 1 species